rnacentral:rRNA from 1 species
AGUGAACGCUGGCGGUAGGCCUAACACAUGCAAGUCGAACGGCAGCACAGGAGAGCUUGCUCUCUGGGUGGCGAGUGGCGGACGGGUGAGGAAUACAUCGGAAUCUACUCUGUCGUGGGGGAUAACGUAGGGAAACUUACGCUAAUACCGCAUACGACCUACGGGUGAAAGCAGGGGAUCUUCGGACCUUGCGCGAUUGAAUGAGCCGAUGUCGGAUUAGCUAGUUGGCGGGGUAAAGGCCCACCAAGGCGACGAUCCGUAGCUGGUCUGAGAGGAUGAUCGGCCACACUGGAACUGAGACACGGUCCAGGCUCCUACGGGAGGCAGCAGUGGGGAAUAUUGGACAAUGGGCGCAAGCCUGAUCCAGCCAUACCGCGUGGGUGAAGAAGGCCUUCGGGUUGUAAAGCCCUUUUGUUGGGAAAGAAAUCCAGCUGGCUAAUACCCGGUUGGGAUGACGGAACCCAAAGAAUAAGCACCGGCUAACUUCAUGCCAGCAGCCGCCGCAG